rnacentral:rRNA from 1 species
UACGGAGGGUGCAAGCGUUAUCCGGAUUCACUGGGUUUAAAGGGUGCGUAGGUGGGUUGGUAAGUCAGUGGUGAAAUCUCCGUGCUUAACAUGGAAACUGCCAUUGAUACUACUGAUCUUGAAUUUUCUGGAGGUAAGCGGAAUAUGUCAUGUAGCGGUGAAAUGCUUAGAUAUGACAUAGAACACCAAUUGCGAAGGCAGCUUACUGCAGGGAUAUUGACACUGAGGCACGAAAGCGUGGGGAUCAAACAGG